AUUUCACACAGACCCAUCUCAAAGGCAAUAUAGAGGCUGGAGUUGACAAAAAAGUCAGCAGUAUCAUUGUUUCCAGCCUGCAGCAUUUGUUAAUGUCCUCGUGGGAAGUGACUUGAACAUCUUCAAAACCACCUGGACCUCCUCUUACUGGUGUCACAAGCUGGCGUCCAUAGGCCUGCAAAAGCUGUCAGUUUUGAGGCUGAGAAGGGGAGCUGAUGUGAGCAAGAGGAUGAAGAUGCUGCCUCCCCGCCCCCCAUGGUGGCAGGUGACAGAAAUUGUUGCAUAAAUGACCAGAAAAUGAGCUGAGGUCACAUGGUCUGCUGAAGGUUUUUACAGCACCUCAGACACAGAGCUCCUCGCAUUACUCCUGGUGUGUCAGUAUUGGCUCAUCUCACAGAGCCUGAAGCUGAAGUUCAUUUCCAAUUUCCUAAACUGUCUCGCCUCCAGCAGCAGAAUCUGUUCAUUUCAGCUUUAGGAUUAGUAAUAGUGGGUUUUACAACCCCAGGGUCCUAAAUGCAUCUGUAAUAGAUGGUCCAACAGGCAAGAAGCACGAACUGGCACCAUCACAAGGCCACAGGAGCCACAGCAGGAAGGGGGCCCCCCAGGCACUACAUAGCCAUGGGGAGGAACCCAGUACCACAAGGAUAAUUAACUCUGCCUGCAGAAGCCAGCCGUGGUAUAAACCAGUGGUUGUCAAACUGUGCUCCCCAGAGGUUCCAUGACAGAGUUGGAGAACAAGGAGAGGUGGGCACUGGACCUUCUCCUAUUCAAACAGAGCAGCUCUGAAGUUCUACGCUUCAUAGAAGCUUUUCCUUGGAAGAAGGGCAUCUGUGGUCCCCAACAUGCAAACCCAGCAGUGAACUUGGAAGGGCUCCAUCUUGGAAGGCAGGGCCUGGCUCUGUGGCCUUUGGCACAACAUUGACCUUGAAGACUCCCUGCCAUGGCUAGAAUUGAAAGCUUUAGAC
ensembl:lncRNA